rnacentral:rRNA from 1 species
UACAUGGGGUGCAAACGUUGCUCGGAAUCAUUGGGCGUAAAGCGCGCGUAGGCGGUUACUUACGUCGGAUGCGAAAGCCCUCGGCUUAACUGAGGAAGUGCAUUCGAAACUGGGUAGCUAGAGUACUAAAGAGGGUCGCGGAAUUCCCGGUGUAGAGGUGAAAUUCGUAGAUAUCGGGAGGAACACCGGUGGCGAAGGCGGGUCUCUGGGCCGAUACUGGACGCUGAGGAGCGAAAGCGUGGGGAGCGAACAGG